rnacentral:rRNA from 1 species
CCUACGGGAGGCAGCAGUGGGGAAUAUUGGACAAUGGGCGCAAGCCUGAUCCAGCCAUGCCGCGUGAGUGAUGAAGGCCUUCGGGUUGUAAAGCUCUUUUGGCGGGGACGAUAGUGACGGUACCCGCAGAAUAAGCCCCGGCUAACUUCGUGCCAGCAGCCGCGGUAAUACGAAGGGGGCUAGCGUUGUUCGGAAUCACUGGGCGUAAAGCGCACGUAGGCGGAUUUGUAAGUCAGGGGUGAAAUCCCGGGGCUCAACCUCGGAACUGCCUUUGAUACUGCGGAUCUUGAGUCCGAUAGAGGUGAGUGGAAUUCCUAGUGUAGAGGUGAAAUUCGUAGAUAUUAGGAAGAACACCAGUGGCGAAGGCGGCUCACUGGAUCGGUACUGACGCUGAGGUGCGAAAGCGUGGGGAGCAAACAGGGUAUUAGACUACCCGUGGUACGUCCACGACCGUAAACUAGUAGGUAGUGUACGUACGUCCGUACGACGACGACGUACGUUCGUUCGUUUGGUUUGGGUCGGGUCGGACGACGUACCGUAACCGUACGUAACGUUAACGUACGUACCGUCCCGUCCGGUACGGGGUACGGGUACCGGGCCGGACCGGUAAACGGUUUAAAAACGGUUAAAACGGUUAAAGGUUACGGUACGGUUCGUUAGUAGUUACGUUACGACCGACGGACGACGACGGAGGGAGGAGG